GAAAAAAAAGUUAACAGCCUCUGGGGCACCGAUUUUGACGGCAUUGACAAGAACCAAAUUCAAAACAAUGUGCAUUGCAGUGCACAUAAAAUGCUAAUCUUGCACUGUUUUUAAAUCCGUGCAGACACACCAGAAUGCUUUCCGCUCAUCUCACCGUCACAGCCUUGCCCCAGCAGAUUAUUUCUGUAGUCCAGACCGUGUUUUUCAAGGCAAUCAAGUGUGAGACCGGCUGCAUCUAAGCUUUCAUGGAUGGCCCCGUUGUAAUAGCACCUCACUACUAAAGACGUUUGUUUGGUUUCAUCUGAAAUUACACUAAAAACCUUCUUUCACUUUGUACCAUCUAUCUCAGCUAAGCCCUCAAGAAAUUCGUUCUGGAUUUGGUGGCUUGUUUCUAUAGGUUGGGGGUUUCAUCAAGGUUAGUGUUUCUAUAGGUUGGGGGUUUCUAUAGGUUGGGGGUUUCAUCAAGGUUAGUGUUUCUGUAGGUUGGGGGUUUCUAUAGGUUGGGGGUUUCAUCAAGGUUAGUGUUUCUAUAGGUUGGGGGUUUCAUCAAGGUUAGUGUUUCUAUAGGUUGGGGGUUUCAUCAAGGUUAGUGUUUCUAUAGGUUGGGGGUUUCAUCAAGGUUAGGGUUUCUAUAGGUUGGGGGUUUCAUCAAGGUUAGUGUUUCUAUAGGUUGGG